rnacentral:rRNA from 1 species
GACAGAGGAUGCAAACGUUGCUCGGAAUUACUGGGCGUAAAGCGCGUGUAGGCGGCUUGGUAAGUCGGACGUGAAAGCCCGGGGCUCAACCCCGGAAGCGCGCUCGAUACUGCCGAACUUGGGUCCUGAAGAGGAGAGCGGAAUUCCCGGUGUAGAGGUGAAAUUCGUAGAUAUCGGGAGGAACACCAGUGGCGAAGGCGGCUCUCUGGGCAGGUACCGACGCUGAGACGCGAAAGCGUGGGAAGCAAACAGG